AUUGAACGCUGGCGGCAGGCCUAACACAUGCAAGUCGAGCGGAUGAGAAGAGCUUGCUCUUCGAUUCAGCGGCGGACGGGUGAGUAAUGCCUAGGAAUCUGCCUGGUAGUGGGGGACAACGUUUCGAAAGGAACGCUAAUACCGCAUACGUCCUACGGGAGAAAGCAGGGGACCUUCGGGCCUUGCGCUAUCAGAUGAGCCUAGGUCGGAUUAGCUAGUUGGUGAGGUAAUGGCUCACCAAGGCGACGAUCCGUAACUGGUCUGAGAGGAUGAUCAGUCACACUGGAACUGAGACACGGUCCAGACUCCUACGGGAGGCAGCAGUGGGGAAUAUUGGACAAUGGGCGAAAGCCUGAUCCAGCCAUGCCGCGUGUGUGAAGAAGGUCUUCGGAUUGUAAAGCACUUUAAGUU
rnacentral:rRNA from 1 species